rnacentral:tRNA from 2 species
GCAACGGGGGGCGUCCGGCAGCGGAUCGGCGCUGGCACCGCUGAUCGAGCUGCGGCCGGUGGCCGACGGAUCGGCCCCGCCACUGGUGUGC